UUCCUGGUUCAAGGAUGAACGCUAGCUCCAGGCUUAACACAUGCAAGUCGGCGGGGCAGCAUUCAUUUAGCUUGGUUAGUGAGAUGGCGACCGGCGCACGGGUGAGUAACGCGUAUCCAACCUGCCCUUGUCCACGGGAUAACCCGGUGAAAACCGGCCUAAUACCGUAUGAGGUCACAAGCGGACAUCCAACUGUGACGAAAGGUUUAGCGGACAAGGAUGGGGAUGCGUCCGAUUAGCUUGACGGCGGGGUAACGGCCCACCGUGGCUACGAUCGGUAGGGGUUCUGAGAGGAAGGUCCCCCACAUUGGAACUGAGACACGGUCCAAACUCCUACGGGAGGCAGCAGUGAGGAAUAUUGGUCAAUGGGCGAGAGCCUGAACCAGCCAAGUAGCGUGCAGGAUGACGGCCCUAUGGGUUGUAAACUGCUUUUGUGCGGGGAUAAAGUGUGGGACGCGUCCCAUAUUGCAGGUACCGCAUGAAUAAGGACCGGCUAAUUCCGUGCCAGCAGCCGCGGUAAUACGGAAGGUCCGGGCGUUAUCCGGAUUUAUUGGGUUUAAAGGGAGCGUAGGCCGGAGAUUAAGCGUGUUGUGAAAUGCCGCGGCUCAACCGUGGCACUGCAGCGCGAACUGGUUUUCUUGAGUGCGCGCGACGCAGGCGGAAUUCGUGGUGUAGCGGUGAAAUGCUUAGAUAUCACGAGGAACCCCGAUUGCGAAGGCAGCUUGCGGGAGCGCAACUGACGCUGAAGCUCGAAGGUGCGGGUAUCGAACAGGAUUAGAUACCCUGGUAGUCCGCACGGUAAACGAUGGAUGCCCGCUGUUCCGUUAUAUGAUGGAGUGGCCAAGCGAAAGCGU
rnacentral:rRNA from 1 species